AUGAUAACAUAUGACUACAAGUUACUCAUCAGGAUAGGGAAAUGGUCAACUCUGCUACCUGGCUGGUCAAAAAUUUCAAAUGUAAACAUCAAGGAAACAUCGAUGAAAAGGUGGAGGGGAUAAACACCAGCUACAAUCCCAACCACAUAUACAAGCAAGACUAUCUCUGCGUCCAUCGCAACAUUGGAGGUAAAUGUUGAGGGAUUAAACACUGGCUGCAGUCCACGCCAAAUGGAUCCUUUCUGCCAAGCACCCAGCCAGCAAAUGUACAGGUGCUGGAUAAUAAACUGGACGACCUCUGUACCUGCAUCAGUUUCCAACAAGAUAUCAGGAACUGUAAUGUUCUUUGUUUCACUGAAAUUUGGCUAAAUCUUGGAAAACCGGAUAGUGCCAUUCAACCAGAUGACUCUUUUUUUGUAUAUCUAACAGAACAGAGGACUCUGGCAAGAAAAAAUGAGGAGGCGUGUACUUUAAAGUGAAUAAGGAUUGGUGUGAAAGUGGGAAUGUUAAAGUGCUAUCCCAUUUCUGUUCACCUGAUCUGGAGUUAUUGUCAAUCAAAUGCAGACACUUUCUACCAAGAGAAUUCACACAUCAUUAUCACAGCAGUCUACAUCCCACCUCAGGCAAGUACAGAGGCUGCCCUGUCAGAUCUUUGCAAAGACUUUAACUGCUCACAAACCGGUAAUCCUGAUGCUGCGCUCAUGGUUGCUGGAGACUUCAAUCAGACUAACCUUAAGAAGGUUAUGCCUGCCUUCCAUCAACAUACUGACUGCACCACACGGAGAAUAAACACUGCGAAUCACUGCUACAUGACAUUCAAAGACAGCUACAGAGUGGAACUGCUACCUGCAUUGGGGAAGAGCGACCAUGCGGCCAUCUUGCUGAGGUUAAAGUAUGUAAGCAAACUACAACACAUGCCCCCAGUGAUACAAGAGGUCAGGAAAUGGUCAGGCCAAUCAGAGGCUGCCCUACUGUCUGCACUACACGAUGCAGUCUGGAGUACAUUCCGGGGCACAACUGUCAACAUCACUGACAUCAAUGGAUACACUGAGUCUGUGGUGGAUUUAACUACAGUUAAAUCCAGGAGUUAAAGUGGGCCAGAACAAUCCGGAACAGCGUUCCGGCAUCUUUGAUUAACAAGUGAAUAAAUCUGAUUGGCAGUUUCAUACAUAAUAAUGUCAAGCAAGUUCAUUUUUAGCGGAGAUGGGUCCAGCUGCUGCCUGUAGAAAUGGAAGGCAGCUUGAGCCUCCAGUUAAACCAAUGGCAGAGUGGUGCUGUCCGUAUUUCCACUUGUUGACUCCAGGGGAAGUGAACACUGCAGAAGCAGUCACUCAAAGACUAACUGCAGCUUUAGCCAAAAUAUGAGAUAUUCGUGCUUUAUUAUGUUUAUGGUAAAAGAAACUCGCAAGACUUUUAUUUGUGCAACCUGAUAUUCAUCUGCUGGCCUUCAAUAAGUUUGUUCCUGACAUUUAAUCAGCUGUUUCUUCACUGUGGAAGCGCAUGAACAGCAAGAGACAAUAUUGUUUUAUCUCUGAAUUUUUGUCUUAUUCAUAACAUAACGUUAUUGAUAAUCUCUCCAUGCAAUAACAGUGAUAAUAUGAAUUGGUAUUAACAACAACGAACAACAGCAAAUGACAGUACUGUAUUUGUGACUGACAGUAAACCACUGUAGCAUUACUGUCUCUGAUGUAGUGAGACAGAUAAACUGGUUCAGAUAGACAAAGCCGCACCAGGCUUUGAUGAACAGAUGACACGGGUGUGCACGAUGUGACUCAGUAAUAUGUGUGAGUUAUAUAAAUGACCUGUGUGGGAAUUCUGCACCUUGCUGUCUGAGCUUCAGAAACUGAUCUGGAAUCUUUCCAGACUGAUAUUGACAUACGACAGAAGAGUUAGUUUGUUUUUCCUUUUGUGGAAUACACAUGCACACUGAGAUUUAACUAAGUUAUUGACUUUUUACACUGAAAUGUGUUAUUUUCAUUUAAUUUCUUUCAUAAUAACCCCCUAAUCUUGUCUGUCUUCUGUGUUCUGAUAACAGGCUGCAGGUUUUCUUUAGUUCUCUCUUUCUCUGUCUGAAAUCAGUGCAGUUCAGGUCCAUUCAGCUGCUGAAGAACUGUGAGGCAGCAUGUGGAGCAGCAGGACUGGUAGAUAUGUUUGUGAAUGUAUUAAUGUAUUUUAUAUCUGUGAUUAUAUGUUUUCUCAGUAAAAGCAGAGUCACAGACAGCAGGAUGAAGUAGCUGCAGCAGAUACCUGCUCAGCCUUCUCAUCAUCACCUCUGACCAUCAGCAGUGUCUGUCACUCAGACCUCUAAUUCUCCAGGUCUGAUGGCUCCAGGAUGAGGAUGAGGAUGGCACACUGGUCACCAGAGAACCAGCCUGAUCUGAACCGAGAGGUUUUCUGUGAUCACAACAAAUGGUUACGUCUAUAACUCUGUGACAUCAUCAGGAGAUCUGGAUCAAUGGACCUGAUGUUGCUUGUCAAUGCUGACUGUGAAAGAGGAUUCUCUGGAAUGAACAAUAUAAUAACGCCACUAUGGACACAACUACAAAUCAACAAGGUCCCAGCAUUGAUGUUCAUUUCUUUGGUUGGGCUUCCUUUGGACCACUAGGAUCCAGAAAAAUGUCAAGAAAUGGGUGCUUAAAAGAAGGUCAGCUGAUCACAUAGCCUGUCCGCAAAGAAAACAAGUCCACCAGAGCUCACAGUAUAUCAACACAGUAAUAUCAAUGGGUUCUUGGUGGAGAGGAUGGACAGCUUCAAGUACCUUGGUGUCCACAUCACCGAGGACCUGACUUGGGUGCUGCAUACUGACUGAGUGGAGAGAAAGGCAAGGCAGAGACUGUUUCACCUCAGAUGCUGGGUAUCCCCUCAAACAGUGAGGAAUUUCUACUGCUGCACCAUCUAGAGUGUCCUGAUGGGGAACAUCACUGCCUAGUAUGGAAACAGCACUGAGCAGGACCGCAAGGCCCUGCAAAGGGUGGUUCAUUCAGCUGAACAGACAUUAGGCGAAGCUGUACCCUGCCUAAAGGAUAUUUACACCAGGCACUACAAGAAUAAGCUAGAAGAAUCAUUAAAGAUCCCAACCAUCCGGAUAAUGGCCUUUUGUCCCUGCUGCGGUUGGGAAGAAAGGAACCGGAUACACAAGACCAGCACUGUGAGGCUCAGGCCACUAGAAUUUUAAAUGAGCUCGCUGCCAAAGACUGACCCCCAACCACCACCACUAUCAAUCAUACACACAUAUUAAUCACUAUUUCUAAACUCUUUUUAAUGCACAAAAUGAACGAACUGGUGGGAUUACAUUUCACUGUGAUUGUAUCUAAUAUGAUUAUAUGUGACAAACUUGAUUGAUUGAUUUGAUGUGGCAUUUCUGUGUGGAGAUGCCACAGAUUUAUUUUUUAACAUGUUUUAACUAUGCAUAAGAAAAACAUUUUCAGUCAAUCACUUUUAGAAGUAACACUACAUUUUAAUAAGUUAACCACUGUUGUAGAACUAUGAAGAUGUUGUAUGACAUACAGUACAGUAUAAGUGAAUAUGUUAUAUGUUGUCACUUAUACAAA